GUAAAAUAGUCCCUCCAUUUGCCGGGAAUGUGACCCGCAUGGGGCACUCGAUGACGAUCAAGCAGAAGCGUGAGUCAUAAUGAAAGCAAAAAGAAGAUAUGAUUCCAUGAGUGAGUCCAGUCCAGUGGAGAGACCACAGAGCAAUUUGAACAGUUCUGGACAUUAAAUCUUCCUUCUGUUGACACAGAAUAGCGUAUUCAUAGCCAUCUUGAUCCAUUACAGCCAUCACUUCUUGGGAUAAGCCCUCUAGGCUAAAGGUAUGUAUCCUAUUUAAUAUCAAACAUAGGUCUAAAGUUAACUAUUUUUAUGCUAUGCUUACAGCUGCUCUAUUACAACUGCUGCUGCUUUUCUGGUCUAAACAUUAAUUCCUACUAAUUGCCAAAUGAUAGGUAUGUUCCAUGCAAUAUGUGAAUUCUUAUGGCAGUCCCUCAAGGUUGUUGAUAUUAAUUCCCUGUAGUC